ACUAACAUAAUUUCUGCUCCUAAAGGAGAAAAGUGGGAGUAACAGAGGCUUGAAUGCCCAUGGAUCCUCCAUGGCUACCAUCCUGAUUGGGAAGAACCACAUUAAUUGGGGAGCAAAUAUGGUAACCAAAGAAGACAUCCAGGAUUGACUCCUCCCACCAUCAUUUGAUUCUGCAGCUCCCUAUGAAAAAGCUUUGGCCAAAACCUCCUCCUGAGGGAGAAAAAGAUAAAACACAAAAUACUGGGGAUAGUUUCUCAGGGGAAAGCUGCUAAACACUGACAGAAGCAAAGAAGUUAGAGAAUUUCCUUUCCUAAAAUCUGGGUAACCCACUGAUUUGCAGGUAAUCUUUAGUGUUAUGAGACUGACAGACUAUGCAUUCUUACUGUGUGAAGUAUUGCUUUCUAACCUAGUAUGAUA